GAUGAACGCUAGCGGCAGGCUUAACACAUGCAAGUCGAGGGGCAGCACGUCUUCGGAUGGUGGCGACCGGCGCACGGGUGAGUAACGCGUAUGCAAUCUACCUUUUACAGGGGCAUAGCCCGGGGAAACCCGGAUUAAUAUCCUAUAGUACCAUUAUAUAGCAUUAUAUUAUGGUUAAAGUUUCGGCGGUAAAAGAUGAGCAUGCGUCCUAUUAGCUUGAUGGUAAGGUAACGGCUUACCAUGGCUAUGAUAGGUAGGGGUCCUGAGAGGGAGACCCCCCACACUGGUACUGAGACACGGACCAGACUCCUACGGGAGGCAGCAGUGAGGAAUAUUGGACAAUGGGCGCAAGCCUGAUCCAGCCAUGCCGCGUGCAGGAAGACGGCCCUAUGGGUUGUAAACUGCUUUUAUACGGGAAGAAACACCCCUUCGUGAAGGGACUUGACGGUACCGUAUGAAUAAGGAUCGGCUAACUCCGUGCCAGCAGCCGCGGUAAUACGGGAGGAU
rnacentral:rRNA from 1 species